AUGCAGUGGUGUACUCAAGCAAGCUCUUUUGUUACCUAUCAUGUGCAUGGAUUCAGGUUCCAGCUUCUGGUCCCCACCUACAGGACAGAAGCUAUAUGAGUGGUGAAGUAAUGCUGCAGGUGAUUCUUCAGGACAAGAACAAGGACAACCUGCUAGCUCACUGAUAAGGUCCUUCUUCAAAGCCCGAGGGUAGGGAUCAGCCUGCCAGUGCUUGCAUCCAGCAGAGAAGCAAUUACAGAAGUCAGAUCUCCCACCUUAGAACCCCCAAAGAACUUUGGUUCGUCCUCCCAGAGGAGUAAAUGAUUGUGCCUCUUGAGAGCAGUGGAAUCAUGCAGACAUCAGGCCCCAGUGGACAUAAAAUAAAUAAAUAAAAUUGAAGUAACUGUUA